UGAAGAUGUGGCUCAGUGGUAGAGCACUUGCCUAGCAGAAUUGGGGUCCUGGGUUCCAUCCCCAGCACUCCAA
rnacentral:tRNA from 1 species